CUACGUGCCAGCAGCCGCGGUAAUACGUAGGGCGCGAGCGUUGUCCGGAAUUAUUGGGCGUAAAGAGCUUGUAGGCGGUUUGUCGCGUCUGCUGUGAAAGGCCGGGGCUUAACCCCGUGUAUUGCAGUGGGUACGGGCAGACUAGAGUGCAGUAGGGGAGACUGGAAUUCCUGGUGUAGCGGUGGAAUGCGCAGAUAUCAGGAAGAACACCAGUGGCGAAGGCGACUUUCUGGACGAAAACUGACGCUGAGGCGCGAAAGCCAGGGGAGCGAACGGGAUUAGAUACCCCGGUAGUCCUGGCCGUAAACGAUGGGUACUAGGUGUAGGAGGUAUCGACCCCUUCUGUGCCGGAGUUAACGCAAUAAGUACCCCGCCUGGGGAGUACGACCGCAAGGUUGAAACUCAAAGGAAUUGACGGGGGCCCGCACAAGCGGUGGAGUAUGUGGUUUAAUUCGACGCAACGCGAAGAACCUUACCAGGUCUUGACAU
rnacentral:rRNA from 1 species